CAAAUGCAACUGUCCUGCUUAUCUAGCUAAUUCUACACGACAGCCAACCUAAACCGGCCGCGGAGAUGAAGCUGCCGCUACUUGGAUUCCAUUUGUGCGAGCCAGGGGGCGGCUGGACGCCGCGGUACACCAGCCGAAACAAUAUCAUAUACAUCUAUAAAAAAUAAAAAAUAAAAGACCACGUGUGGGCAAACGAGGCGAUCAUGAACAACAUCAACGGUCGAUAAGCUCACGUCAUUAUCUGAUAAGCGUACCCAAAUAUGAAGCGCACCGUACCGUACGGCUCGUCCGCCCG
rnacentral:lncRNA from 1 species